rnacentral:rRNA from 1 species
CCUACGGGAGGCAGCAGUGGGGGAUAUUGCACAAUGGGGGCAACCCUGAUGCAGCGACGCCGCGUGAGCGAUGGAGUACUUCGGUAUGUAAAGCUCUGUCAGCAGGGAAGAGAAUGACGGUACCUGACCAAGAAGCCCCGGCUAAAUACGUGCCAGCAGCCGCGGUAAUACGUAUGGGGCAAGCGUUAUCCGGAUUUACUGGGUGUAAAGGGAGCGUAGGCGGCAGGGCAAGCCUGAUGUGAAAGCCCGGGGCUCAACCCCGGGACUGCAUUGGGAACUGCCCCGCUCGAGUGCCGGAGGGGCAGGCGGAAUUCCUAGUGUAGCGGUGAAAUGCGUAGAUAUCACGCAGAACUCCGAUUGCGAAGGCAGCAUACCGGCGCCCAACUGACGCUGAAGCACGAAAGCGUGGGUAUCGAACAGGAUUAGAUACCCUGGUAGUC